CCCCAGUGUUACCAACUGAGCUUUUAAUUAGAGUUUAGCAAAUCAACCAAAUUGCUUGGGAGAUUGUUUGAAGUGUAACUAUACUCUUGUGAUGCAGGCCUCCCAAUUGUCCCGAUUUUGGCGGGACAGUCCUUAUUUUAGGGCCCUGUACUUGUGUACUUGCUUUGUUCUCUCGACUUUGUCUGCUUUUGGGAACACUACUGAGCUAUCCCCAGAAAUCGGCAUUGGAUUUGCUUGCAGAUACCUUUGCUACAGUGUAUUAACUCAUAAAUUAUUGCCGUUUCGUAGUAUUAAUUUACACAACUAUUUUCAUUUUAGAAGACUCAUGUUUUUCUGGGAUUUCUUCUCAUAGUUGUCUUAUUGAUUUAUUUAAGAAGUUAUCUAAUUCUUUUCUCAGUGUUUUUAGAUAACGUCAAUGAUCAAGCUCAGGUCCUAUUACAUUUUCUUAUUCUCUAUUUUACACUGUAUAUCUUAUAAUUAUUC